GCAUAUCAAUAAGCGGAGGAAAAGAAACCAACAGGGAUUGCCCUAGUAACGGCGAGUGAAGCGGCAACAGCUCAAAUUUGAAAUCUGGCUUCGGCCCGAGUUGUAAUUUGCAGAGGAUGUUUCUGGCGCGGUGCCUUCCGAGUUCCCUGGAACGGGACGCCACAGAGGGUGAGAGCCCCGUAUGGUUGGACACCAAGCCUGUGUGAAACUCCUUCGACGAGUCGAGUAGUUUGGGAAUGCUGCUCAAAAUGGGAGGUAAAUCUCUUCUAAAGCUAAAUACCGGCCAGAGACCGAUAGCGCACAAGUAGAGUGAUCGAAAGAUGAAAAGCACCUUGAAAAGGGGGUUAAACAGUACGUGAAAUUGUUGAAAGGGAAGCGCUUGUGACCAGACUUGCGCCGGGCGGUUCAUCCGGGGUUCUCCCCGGUGCACUCCGCCCGGCUCAGGCCAGCAUCGGUUUUCGUUGGGGGAUAAGAACGGCAGGAACGUGGCCCUCCUUCGGGUGGGUGUUAUAGCCUGCCGUACGAUACCCUGACGGGGACCGAGGUUCGCGCUCCGCAAGGAUGCUGGCGUAAUGGUCAUCAGCGACCCGUCUUGAAACACGGACCAAGGAGUCGUCCAUUAGAGCGAGCGUUUGGGUGUCAAACCCGCACGCGUAAUGAAAGUGAAAUUAGGUGAGAGCUUCGGCGCAUCAUCGACCGAUCCUGAUGUUCUCGGAUGGAUUUGAGUAAGAGUUUUAACGGACGGACCCGAAAGACAGUGAACUAUGCUUGUAUAGGGUGAAGCCAGAGGAAACUCUGGUGGAGGCUCGCAGCGGUUCUGACGUGCAAAUCGAUCGUCAAAUAUGAGCAUGGGGGCGAAAGACUAAUCGAACUGUCUAGUAGCUGGUUACCGCCGA
rnacentral:rRNA from 1 species